UGUACAUGUUAUUUUAAAUAUAUUGUUAGCUUCAGUUUUAUUUGAAUAUAUUUUUUUUUAUCAACCACUUAUACUCUUUUGGUUAUCUCCUUGUUAUCUUUACAAUAAUGAUUUUCAUCUCCAUUGUCCUCAUCUUUGUCUGGUGUCAUUGGAGAAUAUACUUUUUAGAACAAUAUAUAGACAUAUUGCUAUGUAAUUUAAUACUGAGACCAAUUGCUUCAUUAAAAUUUGCUGUUUGUUUAUUUCUACAGUUGACUUCUGAUAGUCUGCCACUUUUUAAUCCAACACACUUAGUUAUCUAUAUACAUCAGCUGC